CCCUUAGAUGUUCUGGGCUGCACGCGCGCUACACUGAUGCGUUCAGCGAGUGUACAACCUUGCCCGAUAGGGUUGGGUAACCUUCUGAACACGCAUCGUGAUGGGGAUAGAGUAUUGCAAUUAUUAAUCUUCAACGAGGAAUGCCUAGUAGGCGCAAGUCAUCAGCUUGCGUCGAUUACGUCCCUGCCCUUUGUACACACCGCCCGUCGCUCCUACCGAUUGAAUGAUCCGAUGAAUAUCAUGGAUUGAGGAUGCAAGUAGGUUCGCCUAUCUUCAUCUUCGAGAAGUGAAGUAAAUCUUAUCAUUUAGAGGAAGGAGAAGUCGUAACA
rnacentral:rRNA from 1 species